AGAGUUUGAUCCUGGCUCAGGACAACCCUGCGGCGUCCUAAUCAUCAAGUAGAACCUGAAGACUUUUGCUUGCUAGAGUUGGAAGAGUUGCGAACGGUGAGUAACGCGUAGGUACCUGCCUACUAGCGGGGGAUAAACUAUUGGAAAACGAUAGCUAAUACCGCAUAAUAGUGUUUAACACAUGUUAGAGACUUGAAAGAUGCAAUUGCAUCACUAGUAGAUGGACCUGCGUUGUAUUAGCUAGUUGGUGGGGUAACGGCCUACCAAGGCGACGAUACAUAGCCGACCUGAGAGGGUGAUCGGCCACACUGGGACUGAGACACGGCCCAGACUCUACGGGAGGCAGCAGUAGGGAAUCUUCGGCAAUGGGGGCAACCCUGACCGAGCAACGCCGCGUGAGUGAAGAAGGUUUUCGGAUCGUAAAGCUCUGUUGUAAGAGAAGAACGUGUGUGAGAGUGGAAAGUUCACACAGUGACGGUAACUUACCAGAAAGGGACGGCUAAUACGUGCCAGCAGCCGCGGUAAU
rnacentral:rRNA from 1 species